rnacentral:rRNA from 1 species
UACGUAGGGGGCAAGCGUUGUCCGGAUUUAUUGGGCGUAAAGAGCGUGUAGGCGGUCUGUUAGGUCCGUUGUGAAAACUCGAGGCUCAACCUCGAGACGCCGAUGGAAACCAGCAGUCUAGAGUCCGGAAGAGGAGAGUGGAAUUCCUGGUGUAGCGGUGAAAUGCGCAGAUAUCAGGAAGAACACCCGUGGCGAAGGCGGCUCUCUAGUACGGUACUGACGCUGAGACGCGAAAGCGUGGGGAGCGAACAGG